GUCCCUGACAUGAAUGAACCAUGUUCGGUAACGGAGGCUCAGCUCUCCCGGUCUGCUCCUUUCUCCUGCUGCACCUCCCGCUCCUCCCGCUGACCGGCAGCUGGCCCGUUAAGGACAGAAGUGAAGGGAGGGUGGAGCAGCGUAACAUCCAUGUCCAUUCAAGUCAGAAUGUCAGACAGACAAUCAGAAAGGAGGAGGUGUUUCAGUGGUGGGGGGAGUGGUCCAGUUGGUCCUCAUGUUCCAGGAGUUGUGGAGGAGGAGUGAGAAGCCAGG
rnacentral:lncRNA from 1 species